GAAGGCUAAGUACGGAUUCUAAGCCUCAAUAACCCUUUUGGGGAUUUUUGACAACCUUCGGCUAGAUGGGUUUAGUGGCUCAUGGUUGUGGUAGAAAAGAAAAUAAAUAAAAUAAAAAUAAAGAUUUUAUUGAAAAGAAAUAUGAAAAGAACAAAAGCCUAGACUUUUGGGGAGAGAGUGUUUACAGAAAAAGAAAAGAUGGGCUCCCCUUUUGAGUCACUUCACCCCCUAUUUAU
rnacentral:lncRNA from 1 species